GACGAACGCUGGCGGCGUGCUUAACACAUGCAAGUCGAGCGCGCCUGUCCUCUGGGUUUCUGGGGGGUGGGUGAGUGGCGAACGGGUGAGUAACACGUGAGUAACCUGCCCCCUUCUUCGGGAUAACGGUCUGAAAGGGCUGCUAAUACCGGGUAUUCACUGGUCUCCGCAUGGGGUCUGGUGGAAAGGUUUUUUUCUGGUGGGGGAUGGGCUCGCGGCCUAUCAGCUUGUUGGUGGGGUGAUGGCCCACCAAGGCUUUGACGGGUAGCCGGCCUGAGAGGGUGACCGGUCACAUUGGGACUGAGAUACGGCCCAGACUCCUACGGGAGGCAGCAGUGGGGAAUAUUGCACAAUGGGCGCAAGCCUGAUGCAGCGACGUCGCGUGAGGGAUGGAGGCCUUCGGGUUGUGAACCUCUUUCGCCCGUGGUCAAGCCGCGACGUGGGUCGUGGUGAGGGUAGUGGGUAAAGAAGCGCCGGCUAACUACGUG
rnacentral:rRNA from 1 species